rnacentral:sRNA from 1 species
CAGUAGCCCUGAUGGCAGUGAAAAUCCCUUUUGGCUGGAACGAACACUUACCUGCGCUCGCAUUACACCUCCAAAAGGAUUGCAACGUACAGCAGGACGGAAC